rnacentral:lncRNA from 1 species
GGUGACCAUCCACUGUCCUGGAAACCUAGGGAGGUAUUGGGUUUUAGAGUUGGCCUUCCUUUGUUGAGGAGUACAAAGACCAGACACGUCUGGAAAAUCUGGCUGGCUCUGCUGGAUGCCGUUGCUCUGUCUGGCUCAGGAGUGACUGGCUGCGCACUAAUGGAAAGUGAGAAGAUGAGCAGUCAGCAUGUAAGCAGAGCUGACCUCAGUGACCUUCCAAACCCGGGCCGUGGCCACUGUCUGCCACAUGAGAAGCAGCACCGGCUCUGGGCAUCCCAGUGGGCCUUUUCUGACAGCUGUUUGAGAAGUGGCAGAAGCCUCCCCUCCUGCUCAGCCUAGGACACCCAUAGCUCAUGUGCCUUAAUUUAAAAAAAAAAGGGGGGGGCUGGGGAUUUAGCUCAGUGGUAGAGUACUUGCCUAGGAAGCACAAGGCCCUGGGUUCGGUCCCCAGCUCCGAAAAAAAAAAAAAAAAUGGGGGUUGGGAAUUUAGCUCAGUGGUAGAGCGCUUGCCUAGUAAGCGCAAGGCCCUGGGUUUGGUCCUCAGCUCCGGGGGGAAAAAAAAAAUCCAUCCACAUUUUCUGGUGGCAUUCAGGCUGGGGAUGCCAGCAGGAGCCAGUGAAGGCCAAAGGGCCUCUUCUUGGGACUCUCCCCAUCCAUCUCUGCACUCUCUUGCAGGGUUCUUCCCUGCUGUUGUCCCUUGAAGCCGGCAGAUUCCAGGAUACUGACUGGCCUUUGCAGAAGAGGCUGUGUCCUUUGUUUGCGCUCACAAACUUCUAGCCAGCCAUGUUAGCUUUGUCCACACUUGAGAAGUGAAGUGUGAAUUGUUCCUUGAUUUACAAGUUCAUGAAGCAACUGGGGUUGUUCUCAGGUCAGAGCAAUAGUCUUGAAUAGAUAGGAACUCUCAGCCUGGCUGCCAGCAGGUUCUCCAGUGAAUAUUCCUACCAUUGCUCAUUGGGUACCAUCUGCAGCCUGCAUUUAGGGUCUGACCCUGGUCCAUCACUCACAGCUGGCCUACCUGUUUGAUCACUUCAGUAGACACCUCACGGACUUGCUGUGCCUAGCACCUUUCCCUUCGCACAAUGUUCACAGGAUUUGUUGAGAGUGAGUCAUUCAUUUUGUUGUUGUUGUUUUGUUUUGAAACGGUUUUUCUGUGUAGCCCUGGCUAUCCUGGAAUGUGCUUUAUAGACCAGGCUGACCUCAAGCUCAGAGACCAUGUGCCUCUGCCUCCUGAGGGCUGGGAAUAAAGGUGUACCAUGCCC